AUAUUNUCGUGUUUGUUCAGAGUUGCGCGUUGGGUACAAUUUCUCUUUUUGAGCCGAGGUUUGAGCCGAGGUUUUGUUGCAGGCUGGGUUUGUCUUCGCAUGGAACAGGUUUAUCAGGUUAUUAGUGCAUUUCGUGUGUUUUGGGAAAAUUACCGAAAGCCGUGGUUUUUAAAAUUCUAUUAUCGUAAAUCAGGUCAUAAGGAUUCUUUUUACGAAAAUCAGGUAUUAUUUAAGCACACUCACAUCUCUCUCUCUCUCUCUCUCUACCCUAAAAUCUGCACGUCAUGAGGAAAAACUUAGCGAAGGCAAAGCCAACCACGGCCUUCAGAGAAGACCGCCAUCCCGACGUAGUAACUCCUCAAUUCAAGCCAAUAAAUUUUCAUAUUAUUUUUUAUAAUUGGAAUUUCACAAUCAUUUCAGGUUCUUGAGAUCUUUGUGUACGUGCUUUUGCUGUAUUUAAUUAGAGGUAGUUGUAAAGGAAUCGGAGCGUUUGGUUUAAAUUCAGUGCUUAAUGGUGCCGUUCUCCUUUUCUUCUUGAAUUUCUUUGUCAAAAUGCAUAUUUGGAAUGGAAAACUUGGUGGUGGCGGCGGCAUCACUGUGAAAGAAGCUGAGAGGAUAUUUUAGAUAUGUGGUAUUCUUUCUUCUUUUCUUCUGGAGUUCAUA
rnacentral:lncRNA from 1 species